rnacentral:rRNA from 1 species
CGUAACGCGUGAGCAACAUGCCCGUAUCAGGGGGAUAAUCCAGGGAAACUUGGUCUAAUACCCCAUAAUAAUGUUUGUAGGCAUCUAUAGACAUUUAAAGCUUUGGUGGAUACGGAUUGGCUCGCGUGACAUUAGUUAGAUGGUAAGGUAACGGCUUACCAUGACUACGAUGUCUAGGGGUUCUGAGAGGAAGGUCCCCCACACUGGAACUGAGACACGGUCCAGACUCC